rnacentral:rRNA from 1 species
GGUUGACUUGAGGAAGGUAGGGGAGAAUGGAAUUCCUGGUGGAGCGGUGGAAUGCGCAGAUAUCAGGAGGAACACCAGUGGCGAAGGCGGUUCUCUGGGCCUUUCCUGACGCUGAGGAGCGAAAGCGUGGGGAGCGAACAGGCUUAGAUACCCUGGUAGUCCACGCUGUAAACGGUGGGUACUAGGUGUGGGGUCCAUUCCACGGGUUCCGUGCCGUAGCUAACGCUUUAAGUACCCCGCCUGGGAGUACGCCGCAGUAGUGAACUACAAGGAAGUUGUACGGGGCCCGGCCACAAGCGGUGGGUCGGACGCGGCCGGACGUCGUGGGAGGGCAAGGACGACACAGGGGAGUAG